UACUUCAUUAAUAUUACCAUUAAAGACAACAAAAUUUAAAAACAAGUAGCACAAAAGAAAUUACAAAUGCAAUGAUAAAAAAUGGCCAAAGAUUGCCAAUGUUGGGGAUGUCUUUUUGCAUGAGCCAUUGGCACUUAGAAGGAACUUCAUGAAGUCUUCGGACUCAUUCAGACGAGAGGUUGACGUGCACCAACAGAUUUCCGUCUGGAAAGGAUAUGUACUUUUUGUC
rnacentral:lncRNA from 1 species